GACCUGGCGGCCCGCCCAGACGGAAGCCAUACCAAGGCCCCUGCAGCCUGAGAUGUGGUCCCUGGGUCCCACCCCAAAAUCAGCUGCAGGACUUGGGGUGUCACAACGCGACUGCCUGUGUUCUUUCGCAGUGUCAUUUUUGCGGUGCAUUUUUCAGUAGCGUUUUCGUUUUAGGCUGUGUUUCUCAUAGUCUAUGGAUCCAGAGGAAUAUCACUACCUUCAAGCUAGCGUGCCAUACAGAAGAGUAAAAUGUUGCUCCGGGGUGGCUAGGAAGUAUGCAAAUGUGGCCUUCAGAACGAAGAAACUUGGAGACAUUUGGCAGUUAAUAAUGGACAGGAACUUCUGUUGACCAGCCUGACCUGGAAUUCAGCAAGUAGCCAAAGAUAACAUUGAACUCAAGUUCUCCCAGCCUCUGCCUACGAAGUACUGGGGUUAUAGACAUGGGCACUAUGUCAGGCUUUGCACAAAAUAUUGUCUCAGCAUUGUUCAUGCUUGCCAAGCUCAGAAGCAAACAAACUGAACAUCAGUCGGUGAGUACAUACGUAAACUGGCUCCUUUGGGCAAUGGAAUACAUCUCAGCAGCAAAAGCAAGUUAAGACAAAAACAUAAGACAAGCUGUGGUGGCUACUUUAUUUGUCAACUUAGCUAUAUCUGGGAUUAAUGAAAAACCAAAAGUGACUGGGCUUACCUUUGAGAGAUUUUUGCUUAAGUGAGUUUGAGGACAACCUGGUCAACAGAGCAAGUUCCCAGAACAACCAAGGACACACAGAAAAACCCUGCCUCAGGGAAAAAAGAAAAAGCAAAGCAAACAAACAAGUAAAACCUCACUGAAAAUGGAAAGAAAUUAUCCCAUGCCUCCUAUCAGAUCACUACUGAUUAAGGCUGGUCUUCAAUAGCAACAAAAACAACAAAAAGCCC
rnacentral:lncRNA from 1 species